AGCCGCGUCGAUUGGAUCGGGAAACUCAUCAAAUUAAUAGAAAUACCGAGACAAGCUUCGCUUCUCAAUGGCGGGCCACGCCUCUUCGGGGGUAACUUUAUGUCGGUGGAUUACAAAGAGGACGAGCACUCAAAUCAUGUCAUUCGGAGUUUCAUCUUCAAUCAAUAUCGAUGCGGCUUC
rnacentral:sRNA from 1 species